rnacentral:rRNA from 1 species
UACGAAGGGGGCUAGCGUUGCUCGGAAUCACUGGGCGUAAAGGGUGCGUAGGCGGGUCUUUAAGUCAGGGGUGAAAUCCUGGAGCUCAACUCCAGAACUGCCUUUGAUACUGAAGAUCUUGAGUUCGGGAGAGGUGAGUGGAACUGCGAGUGUAGAGGUGAAAUUCGUAGAUAUUCGCAAGAACACCAGUGGCGAAGGCGGCUCACUGGCCCCGAUACUGACGCUGAGGCACGAAAGCGUGGGGAGCAACAGG